ACUGAUUACCUGCCAGGGACAGAAAGAAUUCUUUCCACUUCAUACAUAAUUUUGAUUCUAUGGCUGUACUGGUUUUGGCUGAGAUAGAGUUAAUUUUCUGCUUCGUAGCUUGUGAGUGCUGUUUUGGAUUUAGGAUGAGAAUAAUGUUGAUAACACACUGCUGUUUUAGUUGUUGCUAGGAAGGCUUACCCUAAAAAUCAAGGACUUUACGGUUUUCCAUGCUCUGCCUGUGAGGAGAACAAGAAGCUGGGAGGGAGAACAGCCAGGACAGCUGACAAAAACUGGGCACAGGGGGAAUUUUGCUGUGAGAAGAGAUGGGAACUGGACAAAAGGAACAGUGUGAAGCUAUCCCAUACCAUCUCUGUGGAGAAAGAGAAAAGUUUCUUCACUGAGAGUAUCCUGAGGAGGGGAGAUGCUGGGUCAAUCAAUGACCACCUUGGUGGAUCUUCGAUCAGCUGGCAAACACACACAGCCUCUGGCUGAGGCAGCUUUCAGAGAGAUGGACUUCAGAUAUGCAAUGCCUUUUUGCUGGGCUUGAAAGGAUCAAUGGCAGCAAAACCUCAGCAUGCUGACCAUAUGGGCUCUGUUGGGAUAAACACAACUGAAACUUUGCAAGGAUUUUGAAAUUGGGAGAAUAUGGCAUUUCUUUGUAUAUCAUGUGCAGAAGGAGAGCUGUUGCACAAACAUUUGAAAGCUUAGGUCAAUUUUCAUCACCCAAGGAUUUAAGUCCAAUUAAUUCACCUUUUUUUUCUAAUUAAUUAGACAAGCCUGCUUGCUGGACCAGCAGGUCAAUAAGACAGCCCAUAGCUGAGCGUUUCUAAGCAGUUUUACCCCACUGCUAACAGGGUUUGACUUUUUUUCCUUCGCCUGCAGGGUCACAGUGUCACACAGGCAGGGACACUACUGCUGGUACAGGAUCUCCAUGACUCCCCUCCCUUCAGCCCAUGCUGUACUGCUUGAGUGCCAUCCUCAACAGCCAAGCCACAAACCCGGGGUGAGGAGCUGAUUUACAGAAGAAUGCAAUGCCAUGGCAUAACCCAGGCCAUCAGGGAAGUCUGAAUGCAUUUGGGACAAUCAUUUAUGACUGGCAAAAAGGGAAAAAAAAGAAGAAAAUAGUGAGGAGGAAAUUGCUACUUUUGAUUUGACAUUUUCUAAUAUAAAUCCUUUUAUUUUUCAUCCCAGUGGGAUCUUUCAAGGCUAAAUUCAGUCAUGCUUACUUUUCAGAAGCUAAAACAAACAAGUCUCCCUGCAACACACAACUGAAUUCAGUUCAAAGCUAAAGCCUCUUGGUCAGGUUUCCCUCUGGGUCAACUCAGACAGAUACAAAUUUUCCUGCUUUACCCAUGCUGCUGCAGAACAGAGAAUAAACUGUCUG
rnacentral:lncRNA from 13 species